AGCGAACGUUAGCGGCGGGCCUAACACAUGCAAGUCGAGCGAGAAAGGGGGUUCGCCCCCGAGUACAGCGGCGGACGGGUGAGUAACACGUAGGUAAUUUUCCCUUGAGCGGGGGACAACGUUCCGAAAGGGACGCUAAUACCGCAUAAGUUUCCAGGCGUUCCGGCGCUUGGGAGGAAAGCUAGGCCGCAAGGUCUGGCACUCGAGGAGAAGCCUGCGUCGCAUCAGCUAGUUGGUGGGGUAAUGGCCUACCAAGGCUAAGACGCGUAGCUGGUCUGAGAGGAUGAUCAGCCACACUGGGACUGAGACACGGCCCAGACUCCUACGGGAGGCAGCAGUGGGGAAUAUUGGACAAUGGGCGCAAGCCUGAUCCAGCCACGCCGCGUGAGUGAUGAAGGCCUUCGGGUCGUAAAGCUCUGUGGGGAGAGACGAACCGCUGUGCGUUCAUAGCGCGCAGCAUGACGGUACCUCCUUAGCAAGCACCGGCUAACUUCGUG
rnacentral:rRNA from 1 species